rnacentral:rRNA from 1 species
CGGAGGGCUAGCGUUGUUCGGAAUUACUGGGCGUAAAGCGCACGUAGGCGGAUCGGAAAGUUGGGGUGAAAUCCCGGGCUCAACCUCGGAACUGCCUUCAAAACUACUGGUCUGGAGUUCGAGAGAGGUGAGUGGAAUUCCGAGUGUAGAGGUGAAAUUCGUAGAUAUUCGGAGGAACACCAGUGGCGAAGGCGGCUCACUGGCUCGAUACUGACGCUGAGGUGCGAAAGCGUGGGAGCAAACAGGAUU